rnacentral:rRNA from 1 species
AUGAGCCGCAGCAACAGGAAGAGCUCAUCAAAGGGCCUUGACCUGAAGCUGAACCUCUCGCUGCCCGCAAGAGGGGACUCCUCCAACAGGGUGAUGGCUGACGAGGAGUCGUCCCCGAGCUCGUGCCUGUCGUCGGAGAACGAGCAUGGCCUGCAGUGGUCCAACAGCCCCGAAGCGACGUCCAUGGUGCUCGCCGCCUGCCCUCGCUGCUUCAUCUACGUCAUGCUCCCCCAGGACGACCCUCGGUGCCCCCAGUGCAAGAGCCCCGUGCUCCUUGACUUCCUGCAGGACAGUGGCAACAAUAACAACAACACCAACAGCAACAGCAGGAAGAGCAGGAGGGGGUGA